GGCGGGCGGGUGCGGGGCAGCGGCUGCAGCCGCCCGGGGCCGGGGCCGGUUCUGCCCCCGCGCUGCCCGGUGUGCUCCCAGCCGCAGCCUCACCCGCUGCCCGAGGGCUCCGCGCGAGAGUUUCGUUUCUUGUCUGUUGCUAUUUUUCCAUCCCCGCACAAAGAGAGCCCUUCUCUCAGACAAAGCAUCCGGCCGCGCUACCCCGGGAGGACGGCGGGGGCUCGGGUUCUGCGGCCGGUGUCGCUCCGGGAGGGUCGGGGAGCGUUACGUGCUCGGGGCGACCCGCUCCUGCUGGGGGAAGCGCGGCCGGCAGGUGCCUGGGGAGCGGCACGGACCCGGUAGCACCGCUCUCUGCUUCCUCCCCGCCCGGCUUCGGCUGCACGACAAAGUGCGGUGGGGCGGCAGCAGGAGGAAGGAGCAGAGCAACGGUUCGUCCCGCAUUGGCUCUCGUUUCUCCGAAAGCGUGUGUGCUUUCCUCCUGGAGACAGACGGGGAUGUGACUCAGAGAUGUCUCUCUGCUCUCCUACCCUCAUCUCCUGUCGUUCUGUGAAUAAAAGGUUACGGCAGUAUGUAGGCUCACUAGGAAUUUUCAUACAGCCCCUGCAAAAGACUGAGAUGCACUGCGCUGUAAAAUACCGCUCACAUUGCAGGGGCAGAGUAGCUAGAAAAAGAGAUCCCUCUGUACUAACCUCGCAUGCUGCGAGCAGGAGGGAUUGAGCCAAGAGGAGCAAACACUCCCCCUAGCCCUGCUGCCUCGGGCUGUCCCAGACACCGACCCGACCUUCCCACACCACCGGGAUGGUGCUCAGUGAGUGACACCUAUGGAGCCCCUCACCUACGCCCUGGCUGGUGAGGGGACCAAAUUCCAUCACAGCAGCUCCGGAGACAUCUCUAGGAAAAGCUGAUUUCCUCGGCUGGUUCGUGCAGAAGCACGGGGAGAUGCACUGGUUGCAGGCAGGACGCCAGGUGCAGCGUGCCACAGCCACAGCAUCACGACUCCAGAGCGCUCCCUGAUUUCCCAGUAUCCGAGCCGAUGGGAAAAAUGAAUAGACCUCAAACUGAAAGAUAGAUGCAGGUAUAAGAUAGACGCAGCUAAUUGAAGAGCUAUCUCCUCUGACAGCCUGGUUUAAACUAAUUACACGAUGUAGUGCAUGCUGCCACCUACACCUUAUGAAUCAGGUUUCUCGUGUACUGCAGCUCAGCAUCCGCAGGCAUCCCUGCGAGACUCCACGAGGAACCGCAAACCCAGGCGGCCACAGCCGUGCUAGGGAGCGAGGCAGAGCAUCUCCCAGCGGCUCAGCUGCAGCAAGGAUGCUUUGAUGCCGGCGAGGAAGCGGUUCAGCAUCAGCAAAACACAAGUAGAGGCUGGAGCCUCAUCUGUGCCGUGGCUCCUGCCAGCACAGCUGUACCACUGACAGCAGCGGAACAUUUUGCUCAAGUUCUCUAGAGGAAUCAAAGCCUGUAUUCUCUGUCUCUGGCUCUCUCUUGUUCUGUUGUUCCUCGUCCUUUAGAAAAAAAAAAAAAAUUCAGCCGCACACAGCACGUGGCUGCUCUCUGUGUUUGGGGGAAAAAAAAAAAAGUGUUUGGGGGAAGGAAAGAAAACCAGCCCAAGCUGUUUUGAAGUCAGAAGUGUGUAAACAGUACCUGGAACUAAGGGGAACAAUGAUAUUAAUUCAUCCUUUUGUGCCAUAAAUAUGUGCAUCGCUGUCUGCUGUUUCAUUACGAGACAGCACAACUGCUGCGAUGGAGCCCGGUGAACGUUGGGGUGCCUGUGGCCGUGGCACCACUAAUGCCUCCUCCAGCUCUUACAUAACCGGCGUCACAAGUCAGAGCCCAAAUUGCAAAGCAUAAGCAUGAGCAUCAUAUUAAGCAUGCAAACUGUGCCUUAAAUUACUGUCCUUUUACUGUCGGUCUGGCUUUAAUCUAUGACUGUUUUUAGUUCUGCAGUCCCUUUGAUUUCAGUACGCGGUGGUGCCAUGAAUAGCAGUACCAAGCAUCUCCCCUUCAAGAGCCCACCAUGAAAACGUUCAUCCAAACUGAAAUAAGUUAGGCCGAAACCACUUUGGUUACAGGUAAAUACAGCCCAAAUGACUUGUAUACCAGACCUAAAGCAUAUCCAGUAGUGUGAUGCUAUAGAAAGUCAGGAUACAACGCUCCUGUGCUUUGCACAUCACCCAGUGUGGCUGGGUUUUGCACACCUGUCCAAGGCACAGCUUAGCAAUGGUCUUCCUUUGUGUUCUGCCUCUUUCCUACAGACUAUGUUCCCCAUUCGCACGCAGAUCUCCUUUCUGGAGUUUUAAGGUGUUAGGUGCUGAUAUUGUGAGCACCUCUUGUAUCUGUUUAAUCCAAUAAUAGAACUCGUCUUUAAUCUCCACGUCUGGGUCACAGGUUUUAAAAAAGACACGGGGCCAAAUCCCCAGCUUGGCUCUAGCACAUGGAAAUCUACCGAGACGGCACAGAAGUCGGGAGAGAUUCGCUGUGUCUGCACCAUGGGAAGGAGGUCUCAAGGGGCAGCGGUGGGACUGCCUCAUUUCACAGAUGGAUGCAUAUUAACGUGAGCGUAUGGCAGAGCCUGCCAGUUUAGGACUAGGAAUACCUUUACACUUCGCAAUCCUCCAGAAGUGCUACAGGAACAGAGAUUGCACUGCCCACUGAGCAGCAUCCCAGAGCUGGCUGUUCCCCUCCCUGACAUACUGCAGUACACCCCAGCCUUGCUGGUUGCCACUCCACAGCUAUUUCUGCCUCUGCACCCAACAGCCUGUCGCAUGAUGUCAUGAUAUGGAAUACUGAUAAAACCAGGACAGGGUCCUACGGCAUGUAUAUGGGGCAUCUCAUAAAGGGAAAGCUGCUGCAAACAGACAAUGCAGACAAACAUAGAGGCUUUGAGGAGUCCUGAAUCUGAAUCGACACGCAUGGCUAUCAAGUUUCACUUGGUAAAGGGGGUUGUCUGCAGCACCACAUACAUGAAAGAUGAAGUUCCUUUGAAAGGGGGCUCGUGUGAGCCGUUGCAUUACUUCACAUUCAGAUUGAGCAAUCAGCAGCUCAGCAGUUGACCUCUGGCUUUGAUUCUCAAUACCUAGAAGCAUCUGGCAUGAAGAAAUCCCUUAGAGAAGGCACAGGGAAAGAAAGAGCUGCACUAAUUAAGCUAUGCAAAAUGCUUUGGAGAAGGCUGCUUCACGUCAAGGAUAUCCUGAUGUUUCUGAGCCAUUACGAGUAACAGCAGCAGGAAAUUUUCAUGAAAUUAUUUUGUGGUGUGCUUAACUGAGACAUAAAGGAAAGGAAAUCAGUAGAAUUCAAAAUCAAUUUCUCCCUUACAGCUAAAACAUGUCAGCUUGCAUGACUUAGUAAAUAUUCCUAGCCACUAAUGUGCCUUUAUUUUGAUUGCACAGGAGGUAAAUCAUCCUCAUAAGCAUGGUGGAAAACCACAUUGGCCUGGUACAUUUAUGAUGAAUUCCUUGCUUACAGUGCAGAUGUAAAUGAAACAGCCCUAUUGCCACAUCCUGCUUAGCACUUAAACACCAUUUUAAUAAUUUAUUUUCAUCAUUUGAACUUAAGAACACAGAGGAAUUUUCUGAAUGUUACGUACAAAAAGUAUUUAUUUCUUAGAGUGAACCUGUAAAAACGCAACCCCUUUAAAUAGUUAUCAAUGAUGAGCUCAGAGCAAGGACCAAACUCUGCAUGUUUUGGAAUUCCAGGUUUAGUUCAUACUCAUCACAUGAGAGCAAUACCUCCACCCUCUGCUAAACUGCAACAGCCUUCCAUACUUCUCCACGCUGAUGAAGAUAAAAGGAACUGGUUGUGAUCAGUAUGGAAGAGACACAACUAAUAAUAGUCCUUCCCACCCAGACAGAUUUUUUUUUCAGUGUCAGGAAGAAAACACUAACAGAAAGGACUGGAUACACAACCUCUAACACUGCUUUGUACCUCCGUUUAUUUAACUUUUGCACCAGGGUGACAGUUUGCUACUACUGCUAGCUGAAACAACUAUUACUGCAGUGGAAGUGACUAAUGAGCCUGAGAAGUAUCUGUAUAAGGACAGCUUACACUUACAGAACAUUCUGCCUCUGACCUCCUAACCACAGCAGUGUCCUGCAGAGAGGGUAGUCCUGAUCCCAAUGAAUGGGAGACCGCUGACUGGGAAAAGCAGCAACAUCUCUCAUGUCGCCAAGGAAGAAAACUAUCCAACUCUUCCAUUGCAACAUUUCCACUGGACCAAAACCAAAACAAGCAUUCAGCUUGGUUGUACUUGAGAGUGGCUUUUCAAGUAAUUACCUGGGCCUCCUAUUCUUCCUCCAGCUCUGGACUGUGCCUUCACUCCUCUCGUGCACAGCUUGGGUGGGCAGAUCCCGGCGCCUGCUCUGCAUUUUCCAGUGCUCUCAUGUACCAGCCUAAGCUGCCUUGUAGGGGAAUAAGCUAUUUGCAGGUUUAAUACGAUAAGGAACAAGAGAGUAUUUAUUUCUGUUGUUUUAUUUGCAUAAAGAAUAAUAACUGUCUCUCUCUGUCUCACCCUUGUGCUAUUAAUAAAGCCCAUGUGAGGAAUAUAGAAAUGUACGUCACACGUGGAACCUGUCAACAUAACUAGUCUGUGGUCGGAAUACUUUCCAUGCUGUGUGUCUCCAUAUAGCCCAUCUUUUGGGGACAUGUGACCCAGAAAUGUGUCAUCAGGACACAUGCAGUCACCAGACUGAUGAAAGGAAUUCAGGAGAAAGAGAUUCAAUAAUGCUGCUUCUUUCAGCCUCUGUUCAGCUUGUUGCUAUUGCUCUCUGGAAGUCAGAGACACAAAAAGAUGCUGUUGUCCCCAUAUUAGCCUUGCUUUUACCUUUUAUACAGAUUUUAUGCAAUGCCAUAUUUUUCCAGAGACUUAAGAAAAAUGAACUAAAAAUCCACAGAUCUGAGUUUCUAAAAGCAAAUAAUCACUCCCAUGCAAUAGCUGAAAGGCAAAUUUGUACCUAAAGACAUGCAACUAGCAUCACUAAUAUUUUUCAUUGCCCAAUCAAAAUGUUAAAAAUAAAAAUAAACAGAGCACACACAGAGAAAAAUACACUGGAUUUUAACAUUCUUUCACAAUUCAUAACCAAACUGCGGUCAGCAACAUGGUGCGAGAAAGAUGUUUGGUUAUAAGUCAUGACUUUAAUCAGACAGUCUCACUCACUGGUGUCUGGUGGAAACCUUCCAAAUUAAAUGGAUGUCCAAAUUAGAGACAUUCAGACUAAAGAUGAAACAUCACAAAUAAGCUCUUUUGUCUAGAAUAAAUAGAACCAAAACAGUCGAACUCUCAGGAAGAUAAGAGAUACAACACUGUUCCCUUGGGUAUCUUUGUUAGUGAUUAACCCAGUCUGUUUUAAAUGCCUGAAACAAUGAAACCAGUGGACAAGCUAUUCUCUGGGCACGAACUGCCCUCCUAAUCUCUGCUCACCAGGUCUCUCCACAGCCACAUCCUUCUGCUGCCCCACUUCUUCCUCCCAGCCUACAGCUGUGACUCACUCUAUUUAAUCAGCGUGGCCGUCAGGAUAUUCACCUACCAAACCAGAGCAACCCUUGAUCUCACUGCCAUGACACACUUUGUUUAUAACUUUCUCUCCCUGUGCCAAAUCUAAACUCAUGCUGUCAGCGCUUUGGGGCAAAGCUCCCAUCACUCAUGGCAUGAAGCCCCUCUUACACA